GUUAGGAAUAUUGGACAAUGGGCGAAAGCCUGAUCCAGCCAUGCCGCGUGAACGAUGAAGGCCUUCGGGUUGUAAAGUUCUUUAGCCGAUGAUUAUAAUGACUGUAGUCGGAAAAUAAGCCCCGGCUAACUUCGUGCCAGCAGCCGCGGUAAUACGAAGGGGGCGAGUGUUAUUCGGAAUCACUGGGCGUAAAGCGUGCGUAGGCGGUUUUGUAAGUUAGGAGUGAAAGCCCAGGGCUCAACCUUGGAAUUGCUCUUAAAACUGCAAGGCUCGAAUCUCGGAGAGGAUAGCGGAAUUUCCAGUGUAGCAGUGAAAUGCGUAGAUAUUGGAAGGAACACCAGUGGCGUAAGCGGCUAUCUGGACGAGUAUUGACGCUGAGGCACGAAAGCGUGGGGAUCAAACAGGAUUAGAAACCCGAGUAGUCC
rnacentral:rRNA from 1 species